rnacentral:rRNA from 1 species
GAAAGGCUUCGGCCGGACAGGGAUGGGCAUGCGGCGCAUUAGGCAGUAGGCGGGGUAACGGCCCACCUAACCGACGAUGCGUAGGGGUUCUGAGAGGAAGGUCCCCCACACUGGUACUGAGACACGGACCAGACUCCUACGAGAGGCAGCAGUGAGGAAUAUUGGUCAAUGGUCGGGAGACUGAACCAGCCAAGCCGCGUGAGGGAGGAAGGUACAGAGUAUCGUAAACCUCUUUUGUCAGGGAACAAAGACUGGGACGCGUCCCCGGAUGAGUGUACCUGAAGAAAAAGCAUCGGCUAACUCCGUGCCAGCAGCCGCGGUAAUACGGAGGAUGCGAGCGUUAUCCGGAUUUAUUGGGUUUAAAGGGUGCGCAGGCGGUCUGUUAAGUCAGCGGUCAAAGCCCGGGGCUCAACCCCGGCCCGCCGUUGAAACUGGCAGUCUCGAGUUGGAGAGAAGUAUGCGGAAUGCGCGGUGUAGCGGUGAAAUGCAUAGAUAUCGCGCAGAACUCCGAUUGCGAAGGCAGCAUGCCGGCUCCACACUGACGCUGAGGCACGAAAGCGUGGGUAUCGAACAGGAUUAGAUACCCUGGUAGUCCACGCAGUAAACGAUGAAUGCUGGCUGUCCGGGGGGACUGACCCCUGG